AGAAGGCUACUUGUGGGAACAAUGCAGAAAUCUGUACACAGGCUAGCUGGCAUGUCAUCUUAAGGGUGGAGUAGGUAAGAAUGAGUGCCCAUUGCUUAUGUCUCGGGUUGUUUAGGUCCUUUUUGUCAACUUGUUUUAGGUAAUCUCUUGACAUCUUAUGUUGUGGCUCCAAACUUAGCAAAAUUCGUUUUAGAGAUGUUAACCACGGAUUAUUGUGUUUAUGUGUAUACUCGCCGGAAGAAGUAGAACCGGAGAUUCAAGCUUUUUGAUUAAAAUAAUGGAUCUCUGCAACAUAAUGCUGCAUUUGCACUUUAUGGUCUUGCAAAUAAUGAGGAUAAGUUGUAGCUUAUGGCCAUUCCUGAAUUAUUUCAUGACAUUUUUGCAACAUCCUUAGCCAUAUACUCCUUGUCAAGUCGGGUUAGUCCAUUUAUUAUUCUUGCAUAUUGUUACUUAUGAAUUGCUCCAUGAUUAGUUACUUAUGAAUUGCUCUAUGAUGCCACUAGAUGAGACUAAAGUGAUUACUCCAUGGUUGGAUUUUUUUAUAUGUUGUUUGUAGCUAAGCCUAUAUUAUUAGUUUAUCUCAUUUAUGUUGGAUUUUUUUAUAUGUUGUUUGUAUUAAUUUGUGUUGGACUAGUGGAUUUCUGGUUUUGUACUUGUGUUGUCUUGAAAGUACUCAGGUGGAACUUCAAGACAAAUGUGGAGAAGACAAUGAGUUCUCCCAGUAAAGGGAUUAUUUCACUGGUUUGUAGUUUUCUACUUCUCUCUUUCUGAUAGGUUCUCACUGAGUUAAGAUUAAUUGUUUGGUUAUUCUCCUCUUAUUUUUCUUGGCAAUGUAUUUUCUAUAUCAUCUUUUUUAAAAGUACUAGUAUUGUCAUUUUGCCUUGUUC